CUGUUUAGUGAAUAAAAGAAAUACCGAGGUGUAGUUCCCUUGGCUUUGACCCUGUGCUAGAGUAAUGUCUGUUCUUUUCUCUGCAUUGAAAGGACUAUUUAUCCUUUUAAAUGUAUUCAGAAAGUCAGCACAUUA